rnacentral:rRNA from 1 species
UACGGAGGGUGCAAGCGUUAAUCGGAAUUACUGGGCGUAAAGCGUGCGCAGGCGGUUAUAUAAGUCAGCUGUGAAAUCCCCGGGCUCAACCUGGGAACUGCAGUUGAGACUGUUUGGCUAGAGUAUGUCAGAGGGGGGUAGAAUUCCACGUGUAGCAGUGAAAUGCGUAGAUAUGCGGAGGAACACCGAUGGCGAAGGCAAUCCCCUGGACCUGUACUGACGCUGAUGCACGAAAGCGUGGGGAGCAAACAGG